rfam:Myotis brandtii contig265879, whole genome shotgun sequence.
CGUGCACUGGUGGGGUCCCUCGGCCUGGCCUGUGCACCUCUUGCAAUCCGGGACCCCUCAGGGUAUGUCAGAGAGCUGAUUUCGGUAUGAUUCCUGCAGGCCAGGCCGAGGGACCCCACCAGUGCACA